GAAGUCAUUGCGAGGCAGGUUGGAGAUCUGAUCCACGGGAAACGGCAGCUUCACCUGAAAGAACCGAGGAGUUCAAUGUGAUCAGUAUAACCCUAAUUCUCCGUCGCAGUAAUAACCAGGACGGAGAAACUCUGACCUUAACAAACAAGAUCAAGAAUCGGAGAAAAUCCGCCUACUGAAGGCAGGCUGAUGAUGGGUUCAGCGCUGCCUGGCGACUCGCUGUGUCCCAGCAGGACCUGCAGGAAGUAGCUGCUGCUGGCA